rnacentral:rRNA from 1 species
UACGAAGGGGGCUAGCGUUGCUCGGAUUGACUGGGCGUAAAGGGCGCGUAGGCGGUUUGUACAGUCAGACGUGAAAUUCCUGGGCUUAACCUGGGGGCUGCGUUUGAUACGUGCAGGCUUGAGUUCGGAAGAGGGUCGUGGAAUUCCCAGUGUAGAGGUGAAAUUCGUAGAUAUUGGGAAGAACACCGGUGGCGAAGGCGGCGACCUGGUCCGAUACUGACGCUGAGGCGCGAAAGCGUGGGGAGCAAACAGG